AUAGGAGAAACCAUCAUGAGCGAAGCGAAUGAUUUAGGAUGGUUUCGACGAUCUGCCGCUGAGCGAAGCGAAGGGGCAUUACCGAA
rnacentral:sRNA from 1 species